ACCUUAGAGACCAACUAAGUUUGUUAUUGGUAUGAGCUUUUGUGUGCAUGCAUGCACACGAAAGCUCAUACCAAUAACAAACUUAGUUGGUCUCUACGGU
rnacentral:miRNA from 1 species